rnacentral:tRNA from 1 species
GGAGAUGGAGCUCAGUGCUAGAGCACACACUUCACAUACUGAUGCCCUGGGUUCACGCCCCAGCAUCCCCU